rnacentral:rRNA from 1 species
ACUUCUUCGGACAAUAUACAAGGUGCUGCAGUGGUUGUCGUCAGCUCGUGCCGUGAGGUGUCGGGUUAACGUCCCAUAAACGAGCGCCAACCCCUAUCUAUUAGUUGCCAUCAGGUCAAGCGUGGGGACUCUAAUAGAAACUGCCUACGCAAGUAGUGAGGAAGGUGGGGAUGACGUCAAGUCCCUCAUGGCCUUUAUGACCAGGGCUACACACGUACUACAAUGGCCGAUACAAAGGGCAGCGACACUGCGAGGUGAAGCCAAUCCCGUAAAAUCGGUCUCAGUCCGGAUUGGAGUCUGCAACUCGACUCCAUGAAGUUGGAAUCGCUAGUAAUCGUGGAUCAGCAUGCCACGGUGAAUACGUUCCCGGGCCUU